rnacentral:rRNA from 1 species
AACGAACGCUGGCGGCAUGCCUAACACAUGCAAGUCGAACGAGACCUUCGGGUCUAGUGGCGCACGGGUGCGUAACGCGUGGGAACCUGCCCUUAGGUUCGGAAUAACUCCCCGUAAGGGGUGCUAAUACCGGUUAAUGUCUUCCGACCAAAGAUUUAUCGCCUUUGGAUGGGCCCGCGUUGGCUUAGCUAGUUGGUAGGGUAAAAGCCUACCAAGGCGACGAUCCAUAGCUGGUCUGAGAGGAUGAUCAGCCACACUGGGAAUGAGACACGGCCCAGACUCCUACGGGAGGCAGCAGUGGGGAAUAUUGGACAAUGGGCGAAAGCCUGAUCCAGCCAUGCCGCGUGAGUGAUGAAGGGCUUAGGGUUGUAAAGCUCUUUUACCCGGGAUGAUAAUGACAGUACCGGGAGAAUAAGCUCCGGCUAACUCCGUG